rnacentral:rRNA from 1 species
UGCCAGAGCCGCGGUAAUACUGAAGGUGCGAGCGUUAAUCGGAAUUACUGGGCGUAAAGCGCGCGUAGGCGGCUUGGUAAGUCGGAUGUGAAAUCCCCGGGCUCAACCCGGGAACUGCAUUCGAUACUGCCAGACUAGAGUGUACUAGAGGGAAGUGGAAUUCCGGGUGUAGCGGUGAAAUGCGUAGAUAUCCGGAGGAACAUCAGUGGCGAAGGCGACUUCCUGGAGUAACACUGACGCUGAGGUGCGAAAGCGUGGGGAGCAAACAGGAUUAGAUA